rnacentral:rRNA from 1 species
CCCUUAGAUGUUCUGGGCCGCACGCGCGCUACACUGAUGCAUUCAACGAGCCUAUCCUUGACCGACAGGUCUGGGUAAUCUUUGAAUCUGCAUCGUGACGGGGAUAGAUUAUUGCAAUUAUUAAUCUUCAACGAGGAAUGCCUAGUAGGCGCAAGUCAUCAGCUUGCGUCGAUUACGUCCCUGCCCUUUGUACACACCGCCCGUCGCUCCUACCGAUUGGGUGUGCUGGUGAAAUGUUCGGAUCGGCCGUUUGUCGCGGUUUCCGCGUCAUGUGGCUGAGAAGUUCAUUAAACCCUCCCACCUAGAGGAAGGAGAAGUCGUAACA